GGCGCCAUAGUUCAACGGAUAGAAUAGACGUUUCCUAAACGUUAGAUGUGGGUUCGAUUCCCGCUGGGGCCACAA
rnacentral:tRNA from 2 species